rfam:Erinaceus europaeus unplaced genomic scaffold scaffold00238, whole genome shotgun sequence
CCCAGGGCAGUGCCUCUAGGACUGUCCAGCCUGAGAAUGGUGUUUGCAGUUCAAUCUCAGGUUCGUCAGCCCAAGAGAUGCCGCCCCUUC